UCCAGAAGUCUGUGAGGAAGGGAUCUUGGAGUUUGGACUUCCCUGACUUCUGAAGACUUUUGAUGGGAUUAAAUUCAGCUGGGUGGUACUGGAUAUGUCCUGAGGCCAAAACCUCAUGGAAAGCUAGAGCAAUAUGUGGAGUCUUUGUAGCUCUGUCCAGGUUGCCGGCUCGGUGCUGUGAACCUUAGAAAUUCUCAGAACCUACUUCAUAAGAAACAUUUAUUGUGAUCAUAAUGGAAAGCCAACCAAACAGACCCAUCUAUGAACUGGCAUAGGUUGAUCUCCCUGCAGGCUGUGGAGUAUUUGCAAGGUGAAAGAGAAUGCAGAUGGCCAGGCCUUGUGCAUUUUAAAAGUUCAGAAGCUCUAGCCACUUACAGAAAGUCUGGGGCCUGGGGUCCAGGCUGGGCUAUGCUUAAAAGCAAAAAAAGAGAGAGAGAGAGAGAGAGAGAGAGAGAGAGAGAGAGAGAGAGAGAGAGAGAGAGAGAGAGAGAGAGAGAGAGUCUUCCAUUGUUCAGUGAGAGAUUUGUAAGUAAAUUUGGUGGAUCAAAUCCAAGUUAA
rnacentral:lncRNA from 1 species